rnacentral:lncRNA from 1 species
CAACUUCCUAUAAUUCAUGCAUAUCCUCUAGCUAGUGACAGUUCUUGUAGGAAUAUACUCAUUUUUCUCAUUGCCAAUGACUGCCAUGCCACCCUUCUUUAGAACACAUUGAAUAGAACUCACCCACACAGUAUCACAGAUAGGGUGGAUAAUCCCAUCAUAUAACCACUUUAUAAUCUCCUUUCUGACCACGUCUUUCAUGACGGGGUUUAACCUUCUUUGGCUCUCAAUACUAUUCUUGGAGUUAUCUUCUAAUAGAAUCCUAUGUAUGUAUACAAUAGGACUAAUGUCUUUAAUAUCAUAUAUUUUCCAAGCAAUAGCCUUCUUGU